rnacentral:rRNA from 1 species
UACUUCUUGUUUCCUUGGUGGGUUCGCCCACCAUAGGACAAACCAUAAACCUUUUGUAAUUGCAAUCAGCGUCAGUAAAAAAAAUUAAUAAUUACAACUUUUAACAACGGAUCUCUUGGUUCUGGCAUCGAUGAAGAACGCAGCGAAAUGCGAUAAGUAGUGUGAAUUGCAGAAUUCAGUGAAUCAUCGAAUCUUUGAACGCACAUUGCGCCCUUUGGUAUUCCAAAGGGCAUGCCUGUUCGAGCGUCAUUUGUACCCUCAAGCUUUGCUUGGUGUUGGGCGUCUUGUCUCCAGUUCGCUGGAGACUCGCCUUAAAGUAAUUGGCAGCCGGCCUACUGGUUUCGGAGCGCAGCACAAGUCGCGCUCUCUUCCAGCCAAGGUCAGCAUCCACAAAGCCUUUUUUCAACUUUUGACCUCGGAUCAGGUAGGGAUACCCGCUGAACUUAAGCA